CUAUAGGGAACGCAGCUUAAAUGCGCCACUUCCUAUGGCAACAGCUGCAUGACCUACAUCCUGUAGG
rnacentral:sRNA from 1 species